CAUGGACAUACACUCAGUGGCCACUUUAUUAGCUACAGGAGGUAAAUAAUAGGGUGGCUACUGAAUAUAACUAGAGAAUUUGCCUUGAUUUUCUAUAAGCAACCUUGUGAUAUUCACUCCCAUUAAGUGAAAUGCAACUGAAUAUCAGGAGCAUCUGGAUGGCCAACGUGAUACUGAUUCAUUGCCUUCCCCGUGUGAAUUUCUAACCAAUUGCUUCCAAUUUUCUUUUUUUUUUGAAGGAGCAAUCUCAUUUCCUGUCAAACAAAUUUCUCUGAGUUCUCAGGGAGAGAGAAUAAUCAAUGGACUCCUGGAGAAGUUUGAGUUAAUAAACAGUCAUUGAUUUGUUGGCAGGAAUAAAACUGAUUUGAUAAAACUGAUAGAUGUUUUCACUGAGGUAACAGAAAAGGGAAAUGAAAGGGAAGGAGGUCAGCUAAACUGUACUCACUGGCCACUUUAUUAAUUGCCUCCUGUACCUAACAAAGAGGCCUCUGACUGUAUGUCCAUGAUCUUCUGCUGCUGUAGCCCAUCCACUUCAAGGUUCAAUGUGUUGUGCAUUCAGAGGUGCUCUUCUGCACAUCAAUCACUGUGUUGUAAUGAAUGGUUAUUUAAGGUACUCUCUUCUCACUGUCAGCUUGAACCAGUCUGGCCGUUCUCCUCUGAUCUCUCUCAUUAACAAGGUGUUUUCACCCACAGAACUGCCACUCACUUGACGAUUUUUGUUUCUUGUACAGUUCUCUGUAAACUCUAGAGUGUUUGUUGUGUGUGAAAAUCCAAGGAGAUUAGCAGCUCAAAUCACUCCAUCUGGCACCAACCAUCAUUCCACGAUCAGUCACUUAGGAUAACAUUUCUUCCCCAUUCUGAUGUUUGGUCCGAACAUCAGCUGAACCUCUUGACCUUGGCUACAUGUGUUUAUGCAUUGAGUUGCUGCCAGAUGAUUGGCUGAUUAGAUAUUUGCAUUAACAAGCAGAUGUACAGGUACACCUAAUAAAGAGGCCAUUGUGUGUGAACAGAUUUUUAAAAAUAUAAAUAUAAAAUGUAAACUAAGUCCUACAUAAAAGACUGAUGAAUAAUUCAAGAAGUGAAAUGAAGUGGUCAUUGGUCACAUAGAUAAGGAAUCAAGGGAGUUGAAAAGAUGAAAAAUCAGUGACUCAUGUUAGACAGUUGUUUUUCAGGUGGUUAGAAAGUUGCUUUCUUCCCAACAGGUGGUGUUAUUUUAAUUUAUGGUUAUGGCUGAGGUAGGUAAAAUAACAACUCUUGAAAGACUCGCACACAAACCUGGUGGAGGAAUUCAGCAGGUCAGACAGCAUCUAUGGAAGUGAACAAACAGUUGACUUUCCAGGCUGAGGCUCUUCUUCAGGACUGGAAAGGAAGAGAGCUAGAAGGCGACAGGUGAAGUCAGGCGGGUAGGAAAAGUAAAGUGCUGGUGAGGAAAGAAUCUGAUAGGAGAGGAGAGUGGACCAUAGGAAAAAGGGAAGGGAGGGAACCCAGGGGGAGGUGAUAGGCAGAUGAGAUGAGAUAAGAGGCCAGAGUGGAGAAUAGAAGAAGAAGGGAGGGAGAAUUUUUUACUGGAAGGAGAAUUUGACAUUCGUGCCAUCAGGUUGGAGGAUUUCCAGGUGGAAUAUAAGGUGUUGCUCCUUAUAUUCUUAAACUCCUAAAAUAUACUUGAAGAAGUAUUUAGACUAGAAAGGUUUAGGAAGUGAAAACACUGGCAAAUGGGACUAGGUUGGCUAGGAUUGGAUUCCUUGUCACCCUGGCAGUGACCUCCCAUUUCCAAACCAAAAUUUACUUCUGAUAUUUGCGUUUUUUGUAACUCCCAUCAGGCUCCAGUUAACCAUCCACCCUCUGCCUAUGUUGAUCUUUGGCCCAGAGUACCUUAAAAUUGAUCUCAUGCUCCAAUUCUUGCAUUACUUCACCUGUUGAAAAGCAUAACCUCCAGCCCCAUAACCCUACAGGGUCUUCAAUUACAACCUGAUGCCCAGCUCCUUUUCCUGCACUCCAACCUUCACAACUAUGUCUUCAGAUUCCUAAUCUCUAGAUCAGAGGUUUCCAACCUCUCUUUUGCCAUGGAGCUUUACCAUUAACCAAGGGGUUUGUGGAACACAGGUUGGGAACCACUGCUUUAGACAGAAUUUUCUACAUCUCCCUUCUCCUUUAAGACAAUCAUUAACCCCUACAACACGUGGGAUUUCCCAGUGGCCACAGAUUUUAAUUCCACUUUCCAUGGUCUCCUCUACUACUACAAUGAGGCCACUCUCAGAUUGGAGGAGCAACACCUUAUCUUCCAUCUAACUUACUUCCAACUUGGUCAAACUUUGAUGUCUUCAGCUCAUAGUUGGACAGGAGUAGAAGUCCCUGGCAUGCCCGGGGAUCCAUGGUCACACAAGCACGUCCAUGGACAUUGAGACUGGACAACCCUAACUCUUCCAAAAUGGAUGAAGAACAGGAGGAGCACCACAAAAUCAUUUCCUGAUUUGGCGGUCACCCUAAAGACCCAUUUGGGGUACAUCAGCUUGUAGAAUAUGGCAAGAGCUCUGGGAAGAAGGCAGGAGAUUGGUAUGGCCCAUCAAUUGUAGCACAUGUAAGCAAGUAAGUAAAGCCUCUGCAACUGUAGUGAUGUUUCUGUGUCACACAUUUCCAAUAUUCAGCGUGUCCAAAGUAAUGCCAUGGUAAUAUAAGAAAGAUACAAGUGUCCCAGGGAAGUAGUAGAGGAGAUUCACCAGGAUGUUGCUUUAGAGAAUUUCAGCUAUAAGGAGUAAUUGCAUGAUCUGGGAUUUUUUUACCCUCCUAAGCAGAGGACCUGAUGGGAGGUGACCUGAUAGAAGUAUGCAGUAUUAUAAGGGGAUGGAUGGGAUAGAUGGCAGUGAUCCUUUUUCCAUGCUGGGAUUCUCUUAAGCAAGAGGGGCUUAGUAUGAGGUGAGGGUAUCUGAAGGGGAAUUGUUUCAUACUGACUGGUUGGAAUCUGAAAUGCUUUGAAUUUGGAGGUAGUGAAGGCAGGUACUCAAAACUUAAAGGAGCAUCUAGUUAAGUAUCUGAGCCAGUGAAGGCUAUGGAUAGAUAGACAAGUAUAAUGGUUGGUGUGGACAUGGUGGUGGUGUUUCUGUGCAGUAUGACUCUUACUUUAUCUGACCUUAUAAUCAUUAAUUCAAUUUCAGCAUUUUGGGAAUUUAGUCCUUAAGCCAUUGCAGAAUUAGACCAUUCAAUCAACACAUUUAUUAUUCCCCUCUCAAACCCUUCUCACGUUUACUCCCAUUUGACACCAUUAUAAUAAAGAACCUGUUAACCUCCACUUUAAUUAUACCUCUUGGCCUCUAUAACUGUCCAUGACAAUAGUUCCAUAGACAUGGUACCCUCUGGCUAAAGAAAUUCUUCGUCUCUGUUUUAUAUGGGUAUCCUGGUAUUCCGAGGCUGUACCCUUCGUCUUAAACUCUCCCACUUCUGGAACCCCCCCCCCCCCCACCUCCAUGUCUGCUAGACCCAGGUCUUUCAAUAUUCAGUAGGAUAUUUGGCUUAUCCUUCUCUCAAGCAAGUACAGGCCCAGAGCCAUCAAAAAUGUGCCGACUCUUUCAUUCUCAGCAUUGGUUAUGUAAAACUCCUCUGGACCCUCUCCAACACCAAGUCACCUUUACUUAGAUAUGGAGCCCAAAGCUGCUCACAUUGCUCCAACUGUGGUCUGACCAAUGCCUUAAAGAGCCUAAGCAUUACUUACUUUUUUAAAAAAUUCUAGUCCUCUCGAAGUGAAUGCUAAGAUUGCAGUUACCUUCUUUCCUACCUGCACUAGGACUCCCAAGUUCCUUUGGACCAUAAACCUCUGAAGUCCCUUUCCACUUAGAAAAUAGUUUGAGCUUUACUGCGUCGAGAGAAAGACACCUCCCUAUGCUGUAUUCCUUCUUUGCCCAUUCUCCCAGCGUAUCUAAGUCAUUCUACAAACUCUGCUUCCUCGGUACUACCUACCCCACCACAUGUUUUUGUUACAUUUGCAAACCUGGCCACAAAGCCAUAAAUUCAUCAUCUAGAUUAUUAACAUAAAAAGUGAAAAAUAAUGGACAUGGUCUUUUAAGAUAGGUACAUGGAGCUUAGUAAAAUGGUGGGCUAUAGGUAAGCCUAGUAAUUUCUAAGGUAGGGGCGUGUUUGGCACAACUUUGUAGGCCGGAGGGCCUGUAUUGUGCUGUAGAUUUUCUAUGUUUGACAGCAUGAACAUUGAAUUCUCUAACUGCCGGUAAUUUCUCCCCUAUUUUCUUUUCCCAUUCUGCCUAUUCUGGAGUGGUUGCCGACACACCAAGCACUGAGACACCAGGUGUCCCCUUUAAACCAAAACUCAUCUGUGUUGGAAUAUUAAGUCAAAUGUGGGACCAUCAAAAUGAGAGUGUGAGAACACCAAAUGGAGUUAUUGUUUAAAUCGAAGCAGCUGAUGUCAGAGCAUUCCAUCGCUAUGAGAUCAUUCUCAUACACCUGCUCUGGACUCUUGUAACUCGAAGGGAUAGUUCACCUGCUGGUUGAAAGCCGCUUCCGCCUUGCUGUUUGUUGAUUGACCCAUUCAAGGGAUGGAGCAGCUUUCCCAUUGGUUGCCAUGUGUGCCACAGCACCUCAGGGCUAUACAAAUAGUAUGGGUUGAGGAGAAGAAAGGGAUCGAUGGACAGGAAAAUGCACACUUAAAAUAAAAUGGACUUGAGGAGAAACCUAUCUCCUUCCCAUCCACUCAUUAUCAACAAUUCUACAGUUGGCACCAUUUCAGUAUUUGGGUUCCUGGGUAUCCUUAUUUUGCACGAGGAAGAACUGCAUCUCUUUCAUUAACAAAAAGUAUCAGCAGAGGAUGUACUUCUUGCUGCAGUUGGUAAAAUUCCACCUUCUCCAGAACAUACUGGUGCAAUUCUACACUGCCAUCAUAGAGAGUAUCCUCACAUCAGACAUUACCAUCUGGUUUGGAGGAGCAGCCUCUCAAUAUAUGAAACCUACAGCAAAUUAACCAAGGGUUGUUGGUUGCAGUCUACCAUUACUACAGGACCCAUGUGUGUCCAGGACAAAGAAGUGGGCUGGAAAUCGUUGCUGACACUGCCCACCCAGCAAACUGCCUUUUCCAAAUGCUCCUUUAUGGGAAGCGCUACAGAACUAUUAGAACAAAAACUUCAUGCCAUCUUAGAAGUUUCUUCUUCCAAGCUCUUAAUAAUCAACUCCGAAACUGUUAGCUCCAAAACUGCACCACAGAGUAAAUUUCAAACAACUUGUUAUAAUGUUGCUUAGAUUGUAAAUGCUGCUUUUUAUGUACUUAAACACAUUUUAUUUCAUUUCUGUACUUUAACCUCUUUUAUAUGUAAUUCUUCAUUCUUGAUUGUUGAAUGUUGUUGAUUUUUGUUGCAUGGCAUACCAACACAUGACAGCAAAUUCCCAAUUAAUAUAAAUGCAUAUGGCAAAUAAAGUUAAUCCUUGAAAAGGUUCAAAGUUCACCAUUCAUCCAACUGAGAAUUAACCUAGAAUCCCCAAACAUCAUCUUCACUCUACCACCCCUCCAACAUUUCGAUGUUAUCAAAAUUGUAAGAUUUAUGGAUUGGAUUGGGGACUGAAGCUCAACUAUAGUUCAAACUGGUCUCCUUCAGUUUUCUGUGUUUUUCUUUCCUGAUGCCGAUGGGUGGCUGGGUGGUUUGAUUUUGAUGUCCCUGUUGCCAUUUUUCUUAAAUGUGGAACAAUCUGUUAGUUUUUUCUGUGCGAGAGAUGGGGUUGGGGGUUUGAGGAGCUGCUGCUUUCCGUGUGGAACGAUCUGUUAGUUUUUUGUGUGCAAGAAACGGGGUUGGGGGUUUGAAGUUCUAGCUGCUGUUUUCCAUGUGGAACGAUCUGUUAGUUUUUUUGUGUGUGAGAGAGGGGUUUGGGGGUUACUGGUUUGAUGUUCUUGUCACUGUUUCUCCGUGUGGGUGAUGUGUUAGUUUUUUUUGUGUGAGGGAGUGCACUGGGGGUUUGCAAGCUUUCUUUGUGCAGGUGGGGUUGAUGUCUUAAUGACUUCCAUGAUUUUCCUUGUUUCAUGGC